rnacentral:rRNA from 1 species
GGGUCAGUAGGUUGGUCGUGCCACCGGUACGUACUGGUCUCACUGAUUCCUCCUUCCUGAAGAACCGUAAUGCCAUUAAUUUGGUGUUGCGGGGAAACAGGACUGUUACUUUGAAAAAAUCAGAGUGUUUAAAGCAAGCUAACGCUUGAAUACAUUAGCAUGGAAUAAUGAAAUAGACGAUCGAUCCUAUUUUGUUGGUUUCUAGGAUUGACGUA